rnacentral:rRNA from 1 species
CCUACGGGUGGCAGCAGUCGAGAAUCAUUCACAAUGGGGGAAACCCUGAUGGUGCGACGCCGCGUGGGGGAAUGAAGGUCUUCGGAUUGUAAACCCCUGUCAUGUGGGAGCAAAUUAAAAAGAUAGUACCACAAGAGGAAGAGACGGCUAACUCUGUGCCAGCAGCCGCGGUAAUACAGAGGUCUCAAGCGUUGUUCGGAAUCACUGGGCGUAAAGCGUGCGUAGGCUGUUUCGUAAGUCGUGUGUGAAAGGCGCGGGCUCAACCCGCGGACGGCACAUGAUACUGCGAGACUAGAGUAAGGGAGGGGGAACCGGAAGUCUCGGUGUAGCAGUGAAAUGCGUAGAUAUCGAGAGGAACACUCGUGGCGAAGGCGGGUUCCUGGACAUUAACUGACGCUGAGGCACGAAGGCCAGGGGAGCGAAAGGGAUUAGAUACCCGGGUAGUC